UACGUAGGGUGCAAGCGUUGUCCGGAAUUAUUGGGCGUAAAGAGCUCGUAGGCGGUUUGUCGCGUCGAAAUGUGAAAACCCGGGGCUCAACCCCGGGCCUGCAUUCGAUACGGGCAGACUAGAGUUCGGUAGGGGAGGUCUGGAAUUCCUGGUGUAGCGGUGAAAUGCGCAGAUAUCAGGAGGAACACCGGUGGCGAAGGCGGGUCUCUGGGCAGUAACUGACGCUGAGGAGCGAAAGCGUGGGGAGCGAACAGG
rnacentral:rRNA from 1 species